rnacentral:tRNA from 1 species
GGCCGUGUGGUCUAGUAGUAUGAUACUCGCUUUGGGUUAGUCCGCAGUAUUGAGUUACUGUAAAUAAAUUUAUCGAAAUGCGAGUGGUCCAGGGUUCAAUUCCCUGCUCGGCCC